rnacentral:rRNA from 1 species
UGGAUCCAGACUUUGUUAUGGCUCAGGAUGAACGCUAGCUACAGGCUUAACACAUGCAAGUCGAGGGGAAACGAUAUUGGAAGCUUGCUUCCGAUAGGCGUCGACCGGCGCACGGGUGAGUAACGCGUAUCCAACCUGCCCAUCACUUGGGGAUAACCUUGCGAAAGUAAGACUAAUAUCCAAUGAUAUCUCUAGAAGACAUCUGAAGGAGAUUAAAGAUUUAUCGGUGAUGGAUGGGGAUGCGUCUGAUUAGCUUGUUGGCGGGGUAACGGCCCACCAAGGCUACGAUCAGUAGGGGUUCUGAGAGGAAGGUCCCUCACAUUGGAACUGAGACACGGUCCAAACUCCUACGGGAGGCAGCAGUGAGGAAUAUUGGUCAAUGGGCGAGAGCCUGAACCAGCCAAGUAGCGUGCAGGAUGACGGCCCUAUGGGUUGUAAACUGCUUUUAUAAGGGAAUAAAGUGAGUCUCGUGAGACUUUUUGCAUGUACCUUAUGAAUAAGGACCGGCUAAUUCCGUGCCAGCAGCCGCGGUAAUACGGAAGGUCCGGGCGUUAUCCGGAUUUAUUGGGUUUAAAGGGAGCGUAGGCCGGAGAUUAAGCGUGUUGUGAAAUGUAGAUGCUCAACAUCUGCACUGCAGCGCGAACUGGUUACCUUGAGUACGCACAAAGUGGGCGGAAUUCGUGGUGUAGCGGUGAAAUGCUUAGAUAUCACGAAGAACUCCGAUUGCGAAGGCAGCUCACUGGAGCGCAACUGACGCUGAAGCUCGAAAGUGCGGGUAUCGAACAGGAUUAGAUACCCUGGUAGUCCGCACGGUAAACGAUGGAUGCCCGCUGUUGGUCUGAAUAGGUCAGCGGCCAAGCGAAAGCAUUAAGCAUCCCACCUGGGGAGUACGCCGGCAACGGUGCAACUCAAAGGAAUUGACGGA